rnacentral:rRNA from 1 species
GACGAACGCUGGCGGCGUGCUUAACACAUGCAAGUCGAACGAAGAGCGAUGGAAGCCUGCUUCUAUCAAUCUUAGUGGCGAACGGGUGAGUAACGCGUAAUCAACCUGCCCUUCAGAGGGGGACAACAGUUGGAAACGACUGCUAAUACCGCAUACGAUCUAAUCUCGGCAUCGAGGAUAGAUGAAAGGUGGCCUCUACAUGUAAGCUAUCACUGAAGGAGGGGAUUGCGUCUGAUUAGCUAGUUGGAGGGGUAACGGCCCACCAAGGCGAUGAUCAGUAGCCGGUCUGAGAGGAUGAACGGCCACAUCGGGACUGAGACACGGCCCAGACUCCUACGGGAGGCAGCAGUGGGGAAUCUUCCGCAAUGGACGAAAGUCUGACGGAGCAACGCCGCGUGAGUGAUGACGGCCUUCGGGUUGUAAAGCUCUGUUAAUCGGGACGAAAGGCCUUCUUGCGAAUAGUGAGAAGGAUUGACGGUACCGGAAUAGAAAGCCACGGCUAACUACGUG